UAUGGCUGUCGUCAGCUCGUGCCGUGAGGUGUCGGGUUAAGUCCCAUAACGAGCGCAACCCUUAUUGUCAGUUGCUAACAGGUAAAGCUGAGGACUCUGGCGAGACUGCCACCGUAAGGUGUGAGGAAGGUGGGGAUGACGUCAAAUCAGCACGGCCCUUAUGUCCAGGGCUACACACGUGUUACAAUGGCCGAUACAAAGGGCAGCUACCAGGUGACUGGAUGCUAAUCUCUAAAGUCGGUCUCAGUUCGGAUCGGAGUCUGCAACCCGACUCCGUG
rnacentral:rRNA from 1 species